AAAAAAAAAAACCAAAUUUU
rnacentral:snRNA from 1 species